ensembl:piRNA 21ur-10755 ncRNA
UAUCAUUUAAUAAGUUACUGA